AAAUGUAAUAUGUCGCAUCUUAUUCCUUCCUUGCCUUCCAUUCCACCCCAAAGUUUCAUGGCGUCUUCUCCCCUUUAGAUCUCAACCCGUAUUGAUGAUUCCCAAACACAGCGAAUUCUCCUCCCUCUCCAUCUUCUUCAACCUCCAUCAAAUCCCACUACUCCCUUCUCGUGCUAGGGUAAGUGACGGCGAGAGGCGUUCUGAGCGACGAGAUCCCCAGACGGCUGUCCCUGUCCUACCUCAGGCUUCCUCGAUGUAAGCGCCCCACCCUGGAAGCAGAGCGCCUUGCGGAGGAUGUCGCCGCGCCGACAUCGGCCUCGGCCACUCUCGGCGAUUGCAUUGCGGUCGUGCGUCGGCUGCCUCCGCAGAAGGUCGGGAAGGCUUCUUGCAGCAGCGGCGAAUCUUGCUUGGUGCCGCGCGUCUCACACAUCCGCCGCUCAUCUUCCCCACCCUGCAGCGGGCGGCGGUGGGUCGGCUGAGUGACGCCCGUGGUGGCGCUCCCUGCCCCGUCUGCAUCAAUCCCGUUGAUGGCCCAUUUAUUCAGGUAGACGCCUUCACAACGAUGGCGAUAAUGUGAAGAUGCCAAGGAGAGCAUUAAUCUUAGCCCAAAUUGCUACUAGGUGAGUUUCCUCUGGACAUGAUGGAAUCAUCGGUCGCUAGCUUUUCGGCACGACUGCGGCAAGAUCAAUAGCCGUGAUGCAUCCGUGAGUUCAUUCUAUCUUCAACUCAAUCAGAAUACAGAAAAAUAUUGUCUAUAUUUCCUAAUGAAUUUCUUAUUUUAUUUUA